rnacentral:misc_RNA from 1 species
GAAAUGCGAUAAGUAGUGUGAAUUGCAGAAUUCAGUGAAUCAUCGAAUCUUUGAACGCACAUUGCGCCCCUUGGUAUCCCAGGGGGCAUGCCUGUUCGAGCGUCAUUUCUACCAUUCAAGCUUUGCUUGGUUUUGAAUAUAUUGUAGUACUUUAAGUAGUUAUACAUAUUCUAAAUAUAGCCGGCAGCAAGUAUAAGUUCUAAGCGUAGCAGUAAAACAUUUCGCUUUUGCAUUUAUAUUUUGUUAAACCGAAAUAAAGUAUAUUUACAGUUUGACCUCGGAUCAGGCAGGGAUACCCGCUGAACUUAA